GUCUACGGCCAUACCACCCUGAACCCACCCUAUCUCAUCUGAUCUCCGAAGCUAAGCAGGCUCAGGUCUGGUUAGUACUUGGAUGGGAGACAAAAAUAAGUUAACAAGAAUCGUGACA
ensembl:rRNA 5S_rRNA 5S ribosomal RNA